GACGAACGCUGGCGGCGUGCUUAACACAUGCAAGUCGAGCGGAGCGGCGAACGGGUGAGUAACGCGUGAGUAACUGCCCCCCUCUCUGGGAUAACAGUUGGAAACGGCUGCUAAUACCGGAUAGUGGGGGAUGACUCGCGUCCUAUCAGCUUGUGGGUGGGGUAGUGGCCUCCCAAGGCGACGACGGGUAGCCGGCCUGAGAGGGCGACCGGCCACAGUGGGCUGAGAACGGAGCCAAAGUCCUACGGGAGGCAGCGGUGGGGAAUAUUGCACGAUGGGGGAAACCCUGGUGCAGCAACGCGCGUGGGGGAGGACGGGCUUCGGGUUGUAAACCGCGUUCAGCCAUGACGCGGUAGUGGCAGAAGAAGCACCGGCUAACUACGUGCCAGCAGCCGCGGUAAUUC
rnacentral:rRNA from 1 species